UACAGAGGGUGCAAGCGUUAAUCGGAAUUACUGGGCGUAAAGCGUGCGUAGACGGUUGCAUAAGUCAGAUGUGAAAGCCCCGGGCUCAACCUGGGAAUUGCAUUGAGACUGUGUAGCUAGGGUGCGGAAGAGGGAAGCGGAAUUUCCGGUGUAGCGGUGAAAUGCGUAGAUAUCGGAAGGAACACCAGUGGCGGAAAGCGGCUUCCUGGUCCAGCACCGACGUUCAGGCACGAAAGCGUGGGGAGCAAACAGGG
rnacentral:rRNA from 1 species